rnacentral:rRNA from 1 species
GACGAACGCUGGCGGCGUGCUUAACACAUGCAAGUCGAACGAGAAAGCCCUUCGGGGUGAGUACAGUGGCGAACGGGUGAGUAACACGUGGGCAACCUGCCCCAGAGAGCGGGACAACCCGAGGAAACUCGGGCUAAUACCGCAUGAUGCGUCUCCACUUAAGUGGAGCCGCCAAAUGGUAGCUUCGGCCUCCGCUCUGGGAUGGGCCCGCGUCGGAUUAGCUUGUUGGUUGGGGUAAUGGCCCACCAAGGCGACGAUCCGUAGCUGGUCUGAGAGGACGAUCAGCCACACUGGGACUGAGACACGGCCCAGACACCUACGGGUGGCUG